ACUUCAUUCCAUUGGGCAGUGAGACCUAGAUGGGUUUGUAAGACAUUGAGAGAUGUUGGUCUUUUGGCAGCUUAUUUGUCUCUAUGGUGUUGCCGUAAGUCUACUGAGCUCUCUGGGUGUCUAACCUUGCCUUCUUGUCAUCAGCUAUUAAAACUACUAAAACAGAAGAAUGCUUAACCACUACAGCUGUUAAAACAUUAGUACGUGCUUUGAUGCUGGAAGAAGACUUUUCAUGCUAUUCUUAGAGACAGGGUCUCACUCUGUCACCCAGGCUGGAGAGCAGGGACGCAAUCAGAACUCACUGCAGCCUCCAACUCCUGGGCUCAAGCAAUCCUCCCACCUCCACCUCCUGAGUAACUGGAACUACAGCACUUCGGGUUUCAGGAUCGAGAACAUCCUGGAAAUAAGAGCGGAAGCAGAAAAGCCAGCAGAGCAGGCCAUCACAAUAGACGUGGCGUGAGAUGACUAGAGAGCGAGCCUGAAGAGUCAUCUGCAGCCCUGCCAGACUGCUGUAAGAAUGACAGCUUUGGCUCGCCACUGGGAGCAGGAUAACAUGAGAGGUGAUGCAAUCAGUCUGCAGGGGAAAUUGGAACUCAGUUGUCCAGGAAGACUUGGACUGAGGACAAAGCAGGGAAGAAUGAGAGAACAUUAAGAGAACUGUGGGAAGCCUUGGGUUGUUUAAGGUUAAGUUUGAGAUGCAUUCAUUCAGUGAUUGUUUGCUCUAUAGGAUGUUUUAUGUAAGGCAUCAUGCAAAAUACCAAGAGGGAGGCAAUGAUGAAUAA
ensembl:lncRNA novel transcript